rnacentral:piRNA from 1 species
UUUGCAAGGCUGUAAGGUCAGCAGUGUU